AGGUAGGAGAAUUGCUUGAACCUGGGAGAUGGAGGUUGCAGUGAGCUGAGAUCAUGCCACUGCACUCCAGCCCGGGCAACAGAGCAG
rnacentral:miRNA from 10 species